GAUGAACGCUGGCGGCGUGCCUAACACAUGCAAGUCGAACGAAGCACUGAGAGUUUGAGAUUUCGGUCAAGAACACUCUUUGACUUAGUGGCGGACGGGUGAGUAAUGCGUGAGCAACCUGCCUUUCAGAGGGGGACAACAGUUGGAAACGGCUGCUAAUACCGCAUGAUAUAUUCGGAUCGCAUGGUCUGGAUAUCAAAGAUUUAUCGCUGAAAGAUGGGCUCACGUCUGAUUAGUUAGUUGGUGAGGUAACGGCUCACCAAGACUGCGAUCAGUAGCCGGACUGAGAGGUUGAACGGCCACAUUGGGACUGAGAUACGGCCCAGACUCCUACGGGAGGCAGCAGUGGGGAAUAUUGGGCAAUGGGCGAAAGCCUGACCCAGCAACGCCGCGUGAAGGAAGAAGGUCUUCGGAUUGUAAACUUCUUUUAUCUAGGGACGAAGGAAGUGACGGUACCUGAUGAAUAAGCCACGGCUAACUACGUGCCAG
rnacentral:rRNA from 1 species